GACGAACGCUGGCGGCGUGCUUAACACAUGCAAGUCGAACGGAAAGGCCCUGCUUUUGUGGGGUGCUCGAGUGGCGAACGGGUGAGUAACACGUGAGUAACCUGCUCUUGACUUUGGGAUAACUUCAGGAAACUGGGGCUAAUAUCGGAUAGGAUCUCCUGUUGCAUGGUGGGGGUGGGAAAGUUUCGGCGGUUGGGGAUGGACUCGCGGCUUAUCAGCUUGUUGGUGGGGUAGUGGCUUACCAAGGCUUUGACGGGUAGCCGGCCUGAGAGGGUGACCGGCCACAUUGGGACUGAGAUACGGCCCAGACUCCUACAGGAGGCAGCAGUGGGGAAUAUUGCACAAUGGGCGGAAGCCUGAUGCAGCAACGCCGCGUGCGGGAUGACGGCCUUCGGGUUGUAAACCGCUUUCGCCUGUGACGAAGCGUGAGUGACGGUAAUGGGUAAAGAAGCACCGGCUAACUACGUG
rnacentral:rRNA from 1 species